rnacentral:lncRNA from 1 species
GCUGAAAAGGAUAGGUUAUGUACGUGCAAGUGAGGCAGCAGAGCAUGUGCAGGAAAAAAAAAUGCUCCAUGGAUACCGAUCGAUCUACUCUUGUUUUGCAGUUUGUGAGCCAGAUCGAGCGAGGGAACGACUACGGUCACUACUGGUAUGUAACAGCGACACAGUUCGUACUAACAGUGGUAUUCGUUUGGCAAGAAUCUAUAGAGCGCGCGCGUGCAUUGAUGGAAAAGCAUGCAUGGGCACAAAAGAGUGGAGGCGGGGACGGACAGCCGUGAAGUGUUUUUUGAUGAGCCGAUCGAUCAUGUGAAGGAGCGUUGCUGUGUCUGUCAACCAAUGGUAUGAUGGAACUCAUGUGAACAGCAUCUGAUCUGAACAAUGCAUGCACGCAUGCAGCCUUGCAUUGGCUCGCUCAUCACAAAGAGCAUAUGACUCCAACGCAUUGUCCCCGGGCGGGGCCCCCGGCCUCAUCUUCUUUUUCUUUUUUUUUUAAUUUACAGAUUGAUACAUGAAUGUAGCGUACGUACAGGUUAUGUUGUUAUGCUGACCGCGUGCACGCUAUGUAGCAGAUUUAUUGUCAUCAGGGACAGGGAGGCUAGCCACGCGAUGACUCGAUUGGUUUAAUUUAACCCAAUACUGAUUGGAGGAAGCGACGGGGUCUCUAUUGUUUCAGAAUUUACAUUUAUACUAUGGAACAAGCACGUUUCCAUCACUGCUCAAAUCUUUGUCUCGGCAAUAAUAGAAAAAGUAGAACCGUGGAAGUAUAUAUCCAUUUUCAGGUCCCACAUAGAAGAAAUAUUCCGCAUCUUAAUAAGGCAAGUUAUAGGCUCAGCGAGGGGGUAUCUGAGGCCCAUGCAUUCAACAUUAACCGACCUGAUGAUUGCUUAUUGGUUACUCCCUCCGUCCCUGAAAACUGCAAUUUUUAGAGUUGUUGUAAGUUAAACUUUUAAAACCUUGACCAAAUUUAUGGAAAAAACGCUAAGAUUUAUAGUACCAAAUUAAUAACAUU